rnacentral:SRP_RNA from 1 species
GCUGAGCCUGGCAACGUGGGCUUGUAACCCGAGUGGGGGCUAUAAGGUUAUGGAACGUUGACCCAGCCCAGAUGGUCGGCUUCAGAACAGCCAUAUUCUGGCCUGUCCAUUUCAAGCCGGGAGUUGAGCCAUGGCUUCCUCGUGAAGACGUGGGUGUCAUGGCUCCUAGAGUGGAGGGUACAGCGUGAGGCUGGUUUCACAGAGCAGCGAUUACUUCCCACUCUCGGCAGUGAAAGGAUUACGGGUCGGUGCUGUCUGAACCAUCUCAGCUAGAUGGGCGGGUCUAACU